UACGAAGGGGGCAAGCGUUGUUCGGAAUGACUGGGCGUAAAGGGCGCGUAGGCGGUUCGUUGCGUCAGAUGUGAAAGCCCCGGGCUCAACUGGGGAGGGUCACGCGAUACUGCUCGACUCGAAGGCAGGAGAGGGAAGUGGAAUUCCCGGUGUAGUGGUGAAAUGCGUAGAUAUCAGGAGGAACACCGGUGGUGUAGACGGCUUUCUGGACCGUAACUGACGCUGAGACACGAAAGCGUGGGGAGCAAACAGG
rnacentral:rRNA from 1 species